rnacentral:rRNA from 1 species
CCUACGGGCGGCAGCAGUGGGGAAUAUUGCACAAUGGGGGGAACCCUGAUGCAGCAACGCCGCGUGGGUGAAGAAGUACUUCGGUAUGUAAAGCCCUGUCAGCAGGGAAGAAAAUGACGGUACCUGACCAAGAAGCCCCGGCUAACUACGUGCCAGCAGCCGCGGUCAUACGUAGGGGGCAAGCGUUCUCCGGAUUUACUGGGUGGAAAGGGAGCGUAGACGGCAAGGCAAGUCUGGAGUGAAAGCCCGUGGCUCAACCACGGGACUGCUUUGGAAACUUGGUUGGUGGAGUGCAGGAGGGGUAAGCGGAAUUCCUAGUGGAGGGGUGGAAUGCG